rnacentral:rRNA from 1 species
UACGUAGGUCCCGAGCGUUGUCCGGAUUUAUUGGGCGUAAAGCGAGCGCAGGUGGUUUAUUAAGUCUGGUGUAAAAGGCAGUGGCUCAACCAUUGUAUGCAUUGGAAACUGGUAGACAUGAGUGCAGGAGAGGAGAGUGGAAUUCCAUGUGUAGCGGUGAAAUGCGUAGAUAUAUGGAGGAACAUCGGUGGCGAAAGCGGCUCUCUGGCCUGUAAUUGACACUGAGGCUCGAAAGCGUGGGGAGUAAACAGG